AGUACAUACAGAACCCAUCGAACUCCCCCGUUUCCUAUUUAAAACUUUCAAUAGAAUUUCCUCGAACGUCUCUUACGCGUAUAUAAAAAACAGUUACAAAGUUUCCCCGGGCCGAGAAAGAAUCAUAAGUUUCGGGAAGAAGAGAAUACUGCGGAGGAAUACACGAUGUAAGAAACUUUUCCUAUGUUACAAAACUUCAAUUAUUCGUUACAAAGUUCGAAACUUUACUAAUUUACUUGGAAACCAAAUUUAUCAUCGCGUACCAUAAUGUCGGGUACAUAAAUUUACUUAUCAUCGGCGAGAUUCGAUCCUAUAUCCUCGAUUAAAAUUGUCGAUUAAAUUCAUUCGUAUUGGAUGUUCUCUGACAUACAGAAGGUAACGUUUGUCGUAGUAUUUCAUUUCUUAACUUUCGUCAAAUUCACAAAUUCUAUCCGGAUUUAUCUUUGUUAAUUUUUUUUUUUUCUAUUUUCCUAGCCUGGUGUUUUUUUGGCAAUGCUUUAGGGCCUACGUGAUAUCCAUCGACGGGUCUUUCGAAAAUCGGCAGAAAAUUGCGACCCAGCUUCGACAACGCGGUCGUGCCCGGUGGUGUCAGUUUUUCUCCCUACGCCAUUGCCAGAGGAGCGUUUCAUUCAUCAUUCUGGGCAGCGCGCAGUUUGCGGAUUCUGCAUUCGUUUCCGGGCGGCGAGCAGUGGCACUUCAUUCUUACGGAAUACACCGGAUAUGCUGGGAGACAGGUCAAACCAGACACCGAAGCAUUCGAACCGUGCCAGCAUCCCUCCGACGUUUCCGCUUCUCUCUAUUUGUAUUUGCCUGAAUUUCACGGCCCCGAUUUCCCUCGUUAGUCGAGAUUCUACGCUCCCUUCUUUUCUUGUCAGCUCGUCAACGCGGAUGAAAAAGAAAAUAUUCGCGCGUCCCUCAGUUUCCCUGGGAUUCCGCAAAGUAACAUCGCGAGCUUUCAUAACGCCACUUAAAAAAAACCUGAGAAACUGGAUGUUCUUCGAGAAGCACGUACGGAAGGAACAAUCAACGAUCUUCCUCGAUAACAGGAACAUCUCACGGGGAAAGUUAUCGGGAGAGUGACGGGGGUAUAGAUCGGGUGAUAUUAAAAAAAGAUGAUACUAAAGUGACUGUCUAUUAAAUAAUCGUAGGAUGUUAGACAAAAAAAAUACUAGCAUCGUGUGACGAUUUGUUUGAGGGGGUAAGAGGUGACACUAUAAUGACUGUCUAUAAAGUAAUCGUAGGAUGUUAGAAAAAACAAUACUAAGUUUGCGCGACGAUUUGUUUGAGAAGGUAUUUUAGUCUAAACCGUUAAUUUUCAGGAAUUCUAAGUGUUUAAAAUUUUUUUUUAUAUUCUACGUCUAUUGGUUCGCCUUUUUCGAUUCACGCGUGUUUUCAUAUAAAAAGUCGUGAUCUCGAUUUAUACGGUACUCUGCAAAUAUUGUUAUAUAACACUAUCUGUAAUACUGUCAUUGGAAAAGAUAUAUCUAUAUAUGCUCGAUAUCAUAGAUACCCAUACUCCACCUAGUGUAAAUUUGUCUCCCUAUGUAGGCGGCGAGUAUGUGAAGCAUACGACACCAUUUACCCUCAGCUUUAUCAUAAAUAUGAAAAUCAUGAGGAAACCUAUUUACCAACAGGGCACGAUACCUUUCCGUAUUAAAUUACAUAUGACGUGUUACACCAAGAAGUUUCAAAUUAAGGUCCCCAAGAAUAACCAUGAAUAUACUUUCAGCGAUAACCUCGGAGAGUGUAGUGCUGAAUUAAGGGAGUAAUAUUACCAACUUGUACUUCUAAUUACGAGGAACCCAAAACACGGAGCAGCCGCACUUACGAUAUAAUUACUGUACAUUUCUCUGCGUCUGCUGGUGGCGCCAUGCCUCUAAUAUUCUACAUGGAAUACGACACAGCCGGUACAAUGCAACUCAUAUCAAGACUAAAACAAGUAGACUUGGCUACUUGAGCAUGGAAAAUUGUCUCUAGCACGAAUGAAAUGAAAAUAUUUGAAAGGUUAACGCGAGAACGAAAUUACCGACUGUAUAAAAUAUCAAUGGAUACACAGCGCGCUCUAGAGUUGAAAAUGGUAACUAUGAGAGCCAUAUUGAAUCGCGCAACACAGUCGAAACACUCGUAGCGUCUAAAACCGCUAACUUUCAGAAGACAAAUGGCGAUCGCGGGCAAGCUGUGCGCGCGCAGCUUGACUCCUGUUUGGCGCGCGCAGCUAGACGGUGGGCGGGAAAAAAGUUAAUAUUCAAAUUUCCAAAAAAAGAUUAAACGCCAUUGAACCGUGUAUCAUGGAUAAUAUUGUUGAUACGCGGUCGAGGGUACUUGAAGUAGAAAUUAUGACUGCAAAAGAAAAAGAAAAACAAACAGGUAUCAGAUCAACGUUUAAGUUCUUAAUUACACUUGUUUACUGUCACAUAUUCAGUGUCAUCUGUCAGCCCAUAUAUCUCAAGUAUUGAACAGUGAAAUAUCAUUAGUUUCAUAAAUAAUUUGUACAAUGUAAAUAUAUUAAUUUUAAUUCAGUAUGUAAUUUUAGAUUAACUUUUGGUAACUGUAUAAUAAAUGGAGAUAGCUUGGCACACUAAAUUUGUUAACA